rnacentral:misc_RNA from 1 species
AACAAGGCGUACCUGCGGACCUGCGGAGGGAUCAUUACCGAGUGUGAACCCCCCCGUAAAAAAGAGGGGUUACCUCCCGUCCUUUGCUGGGAACCCCUUUCCAACUUGGAAGGAGGUUGUUUUCAGACCCUUCUGCUUCGGUGGGGUAACCCACCGGAACAACCUCAAAAAUAUUCUCAACUCAAAACCGUUCAGUCCGAGAACUUUUUUGAAAAGCGAAAAAACUUUUAACAACGGAUC